rnacentral:rRNA from 1 species
UAGGGAAUCUUCCGCAAUGGGCGAAAGCCUGACGGAGCAACGCCGCGUGAGUGAUGAAGGUCUUCGGAUCGUAAAACUCUGUUAUUAGGGAAGAACAAACGUGUAAGUAACUAUGCACGUCUUGACGGUACCUAAUCAGAAAGCCACGGCUAACUACGUGCCAGCAGCCGCGGUAAUACGUAGGUGGGAAGCGUUAUCCGGUAUUAUUGGGCGUAAAGCGCGCGUAGGCGGUUUUUUAAGUCUGAUGUGAAAGCCCACGGCUCAACCGUGGAGGGUCAUUGGAAACUGGAAUACUAGAGUGCAGAAGAGGAAAGUGGAAUUCCAUGUGUAGCGGUGAAAUGCGCAAAGAUAUGGAGGAACACCAGUGGCGAAGGCGACGUUAUGGUCUGUAACUAACGCUGAUGUGCGAAAGCGUGGGGAUCAAACAGG